rnacentral:rRNA from 1 species
GGCUUGACGGAAAUAUACUUUUUUAUUAUUAUAAUAUUGAAUUUAAUUUUUGAGUUAAAAAGCUUAAAUUUUUGAAAGGGACGAGAAGACCCUAUAGAAUUUUAUAGUUAAUAUUGAAUAUAAAUUAUUUGAUUGGGGUGAUUAAAGAUAAACUUCUUUUUUUAUUUCAUAUUAUAUGAAUUUUUGAUCCUAAAUUUUAGAUAGAAAGAUAAAAUUACCUUAGGGAUAACAGCAUAAUUUUUUUAAAAAGAUCUUAUUAAUAGAAAAGAUUAUGACCUCGAUGUUGAAUUAAGAUAAUAUUUAGGUGUAGAAGUUUAAAUAUUAAGUCUGUUCGACUUUAAAUUUUACAUGAUUUGAGUUCAAACCGGCGUGAGCCAGGUUGGUUUCUAUCUUUUCAAAUUUU